AACGCGAAGAACCUUACCUACCCUUGACAUGCUCGGAAUCUGGCAGAGAUGCUGGAGUGCCUUCGGGAGCCGAGACACAGGUGCUGCAUGGCUGUCGUCAGCUCGUGUCGUGAGAUGUUGGGUUAAGUCCCGUAACGAGCGCAACCCCUAUUCUUAGUUGCCAACGGGUGAAGCUGGGAACUCUAAGGAGACUGCCGGUGACAAGCCGGAGGAAGGUGGGGAUGACGUCAAGUCCUCAUGGCCCUUACGGGUAGGGCGACACACGUGUUACAAUGGCCGGUACAGAGGGAAGCGAAGCUGCGAAGUGGAGCGAAUCCUUUUAAAGCCGGUCGUAGUCCGGAUUGGAGUCUGCAACUCGACUCCAUGAAGUUGGAAUCGCUAGUAAUCGCGGAUCAGAACGCCGCGGUGAAUACGUUCCCGGGCCUUGUACACACCGGAGUA
rnacentral:rRNA from 1 species